CCUACGGGUGGCAGCAGUAGGGAAUCUUUCACAAUGGGCGAAAGCCUGAUGGAGCAACGCCGCGUGCAGGAUGAAGGCCCUCGGGUUGUAAACUGCUUUUAUAAGCGAGAAAUAUGAUGGUAACUUAUGAAUAAGGAUCGGCUAACCACGUGCCAGCAGCCGCGGUCAUACGUAGGAUCCGAGCAUUAUCCGGAGUGACUGGGUGUAAAGAGUUGCGUAGGUGGCAUAAUAAGUAGCUAGUGAAAUCUGGUGGCGCAACCAUUCAGACUAUUGGCUAAACUGUUAAGCUCGAGACCGUUAGGGGUAACUGGAAUUUCUAGUGUAGGAGUGAAAUCCGUAGAUAUUAGAAGGAACACCAAUAGCGUAGGCAGGUUGCUGGGACGGUUCUGACACUAAGGCACGAAAGCGUAGGGAGCAAACGGGAUUAGAUACCCCUGUAGUC
rnacentral:rRNA from 1 species